rnacentral:rRNA from 1 species
UACGGAGGGGCUAGCGUUAUUCGGAAUUACUGGGUCGUAAAGCUGGCACGGUAGGCGGCUUUGUAAGUCAGAGGUGAAAGCCUGGAGCUCAACUCCAGAACUGCCUUUGAUACUGAGGAUCUUGAGUCCGGGAGAGGUGAGUGGAACUGCGAGUGUAGAGGUGAAAUUCGUAGAUAUUCGCAAGAACACCAGUGGCGAAGGCGGCUCACUGGCCCGGUACUGACGCUGAGGUGCGAAAGCGGAUGGGGAGCAAAGCAGGGAUUAAGAAACC